rnacentral:rRNA from 1 species
CUUGGUCAUUUAGAGGAAGUAAAAGUCGUAACAAGGUUUCCGUAGGUGAACCUGCGGAAGGAUCAUUAUCGAAAUUAUUGGUGAGGGUUGUAGCUGGCCUUUCGAGGCAUGUGCACGCUCGAGCCCUUAAUCCACUUUACACCUGUGCACUUAAUGUAGGUCGCCCUUAAAAAAGGUGACCUAUGUCUUAUCAUCAACCCAUCGUAUGUCUCAUAGAAUGUAAUCGAUAUCCUCGCCCUAAAAAAGCGUUGAUAAACUUAUACAACUUUCAACAACGGAUCUCUUGGCUCUCGCAUCGAUGAAGAACGCAGCGAAAUGCGAUAAGUAAUGUGAAUUGCAGAUUUUCAAUGAAUCAUCGAAUCUUUGAACGCACCUUGCGCUCCUUGGUAUUCCGAGGAGCAUGCCUGUUUGAGUGUCAUUAAAUUCUCAACUCCAAGGGUUUCACGACCUUUCGGAGAUUGGACUUGGAGGUGCUGGCCGCAUAUUGGUCGGCUCCUCUCAAAUGCAUCAGCGGAAUUCAACCUUUGGCUUCCGGAUGUCAGUGUGAUAAUCAUGUUGCGCUGUCGUUUGAUCCCUCAGAGUCCGCUUAUAAUGGUCUUCGGACAAAAUCAUCAUCAAAUUUGACCUCAAAUCAGGUAGGACUACCCGCUGAACUUAAGCAUAUCAAUAAGCGGAGGA